rnacentral:rRNA from 1 species
AACGAACGCUGGCGGCAGGCCGAACACAGGCAAGGCGAAAGAGACCGCCGGGGCGAGGGGCGCAGGGGGGGGGAACGCGGGGGAAGGAGAAAGGAGGGAAGGAAGAAAGGAGCGAAAGGGGGGCGAAGAAAGGAGAAGGGCAGCGGACCAAAGAGGGACCGCCUUAGGGUGGGCCCUCGGGGGAUUGGCCGGUUGGUAGGGUAAAAGCCGGCAAAGGCGUCGUGCCAGAGCUGGUCUGAGAGGAUGAUUAGCCACACUGGGACUGAGACACGGCCCAGACUCCUACGGGAGGCCGCAGUGGGGAAUAUUGGACAAUGGGCGAAAGCCUGAUCCAGCAAUGCCGCGUGUGUGCUGCCGGCCUUAGGGUUGUAAAGCGCUUUUACCCGGGAUGUUAAUGACAGUACCGGGAGAAUAAGCUCCGGCUAACUCCGUG